GAUGAAGAACGCAGCGAAAUGCGAUAAGUAGUGUGAAUUGCAGAAUUCAGUGAAUCAUCGAAUCUUUGAACGCACAUUGCGCCCUUUGGUAUUCCAAAGGGCAUGCCUGUUCGAGCAUCAUUUGUACCCUCAAGCUUUGCUUGGUGUUGGGCGUCUUGUCUCUAGCUUUGCUGGAGACUCGCCUUAAAGUAAUUGGCAGCCGGCCUACUGGUUUCGGAGCGCAGCACAAGUCGCACUCUCUAUCAGCAAAGGUCUAGCAUCCAUUAAGCCUUUUUUUCAACUUUUGACCUCGGAUCAGGUAGGGAUACCCGCUGAACUUAAGCAUAUCAAUAAGCGGGGA
rnacentral:misc_RNA from 1 species